CCUGACCAGUUCAUUCUGGUUCCAGAUAAUCUAGAAUGUUGCUGCUCUCCCUAUAAAACAAGGGCUGGGGAGAGAAUGGAAGAACAAUUCUCAAAACAUAUUAAGGGAAAUACAGAAUCUGACUUCAACGGUUAAAUUGGAAGGAAAAAAAGAACUGCAUUUCUUGGCCUCUCCAUCAUCGACCUCAAUCCUGGCUGCUGUGAGGAAGAAGCAGAAGGACUGUGUUGUGGCUUUAAAAAGUUCUUCGCACACAUUUGGGAUUAUGCCCUUAUCAGCACCAUAACCAAUCAUGGAGUAGCUUUUUCCAGAGCCUGUCUGGCCAUAGGCCAGAAGGGUGGCGUUAUAGCCCUGCCAGGCACUGUCCAGAAUUCCUUGGCCAAGAUCGCGAAAAACAUCUUUCUACAAAGAUCACAGAGUCUGUUUGGGAGCUAUACGAAGAAACAAGAUUCAUUACUUUCUAGAAAUAUCCCCAUUAAAGAAAAUAGUUAUUUUUCUGUUUGAUCAUCCAUAUUUUCACCAUACUGAAUGCUAGGAGUUAAUUUUGUAUGUUUUGAAAAACAAAUCAAUCCUCAAAUGAUGAUUUGCUGCCACUGAAGAAAUCUUAAAACACAAAUUGCUAUAAAUUCUAUGAAGGGAGGGGCAACAUUAUUAUUUUUUCCAUUUUCUCCAGGGCCUGGAGUAGAGCUUUCCAUAAGUAAAU